AGAGUUUGAUCCUGGCUCAGAUUGAACGCUGGCGGUAGGCUUAACACAUGCAAGUCGUGCGAGAAAGUACCUUCGGGUGCGAGUAGAGCGGCGGACGGGUGAGUAACGCGUAGGAAUCUACCUAGUAGAAGGGGAUAGCCCGGGGAAACUCGGAUUAAUACCGUAUACCUCCUUAGGGAGAAAGAGGGCUUAGCUUUGAUGCUCUCGCUAUUAGAUGAGCCUGCGUAAGAUUAGCUUGUUGGUGAGGUAAUGGCUCACCAAGGCGACGAUCUUUAGCUGGUCUGAGAGGACGAUCAGCCACAUUGGGACUGAGACACGGCCCAGACUCCUACGGGAGGCAGCAGUGGGGAAUAUUGGACAAUGGGCGCAAGCCUGAUCCAGCCACACCGCGUGUGUGAAGAAGGCUUUCGGGUUGUAAAGCACUUUAAGUAAGGAGGAAAAGAUUGUAGUUAAUACCUUCAGUCCGUGACGUUACUUACAGAAUAAGGACCGGCUAAUUCCGUGCCAGCAGCCGCGGUAAUACGGAAGGUCCAAGCGUUAAUCGGAAUUACUGGGCGUAAAGCGCGCGUAGGUGGUUUUUUAAGUUGGAUGUGAAAGCCCUGGGCUCAACCUAGGAACUGCAUCCAAAACUAGAUGACUAGAGUACGAAAGAGGGAAGUAGAAUUCACAGUGUAGCGGUGGAAUGCGUAGAUAUUGUGAAGAAUACCAAUGGCGAAGGCAGCUUCCUGGUUCUGUACUGACACUGAGGUGCGAAAGCGUGGGUAGCGAACAGGAUUAGAUACCCUGGUAGUCCACGCCGUAAACGAUGACAACUAGCUGUUGGGAGACAAGAUCUCUCAGUGGCGCAGCUAACGCUUUAAGUUGUCCGCCUGGGGAGUACGGCCGCAAGGUUAAAACUCAAAUGAAUUGACGGGGACCCGCACAAGCGGUGGAGCAUGUGGUUUAAUUCGAUGCAACGCGAAAAACCUUACCUACUCUUGACAUACUUGGAAGCUCUUG
rnacentral:rRNA from 1 species